AGAGUUUGAUCCUGGCUCAGGACGAACGCUGGCGGCGUGCUUAACACAUGCAAGUCGAACGAAGAGCGAUGGAAGCUUGCUUCUAUCAAUCUUAGUGGCGAACGGGUGAGUAACGCGUAAUCAACCUGCCCUUCAGAGGGGGACAACAGUUGGAAACGACUGCUAAUACCGCAUACGAUCCAAUCUCGGCAUCGAGGAUGGAUGAAAGGUGGCCUCUAUUUAUAAGCUAUCACUGAAGGAGGGGAUUGCGUCUGAUUAGCUAGUUGGAGGGGUAACGGCCCACCAAGGCGAUGAUCAGUAGCCGGUCUGAGAGGAUGAACGGCCACAUUGGGACUGAGACACGGCCCAGGCUCCUACGGGAGGCAGCAGUGGGAAUCUUCCGCAAUGGACGAAAGUCUGACGGAGCAACGCCGCGUGAGUGAUGACGGCCUUCGGGUUGUAAAGCUCUGUUAAUCGGGACGAAAGGCCUUCUUGCGAAUAGUUAGAAGGAUUGACGGUACCGGAAUAGAAAGCCACGGCUAACUACGUGCCAGCAGCCGCGGUAAUACGUAGGUGGCAAGCGUUGUCCGGAAUUAUUGGGCGUAAAGCGCGCGCAGGCGGAUUGGUCAGUCUGUCUUAAAAGUUCGGGGCUUAACCCCGUGAUGGGAUGGAAACUGCCAAUCCAGAGUAUCGGAGAGGAAAGUGGAAUUCCUAGCGUAGCGGUGAAAUGCGUAGAUAUUAGGAAGAACACCAGUGGCGAAGGCGACUUUCUGGACGAAAACUGACGCUGAGGCGCGAAAGCCAGGGGAGCGAACGGGAUUAGAUACCCCGGUAGUCCUGGCCGUAAACGAUGGGUACUAGGUGUAGGAGGUAUCGACCCCUUCUGUGCCGGAGUUAACGCAUAAGUACCCCGCCUGGGGAGUACGACCGCAAGGUGAAACUCAAAGGAAUUGACGGGGGCCCGCACAAGCGGUGGAGUAUGUGUUUAAUUCGACGCAACGCGAAGAACCUUACCAGGUCUUGACAUCGAUGGACGGA
rnacentral:rRNA from 1 species